CGUUUUCUCAUAGACUCCCAUUUAAGUCCUUGCUGUGUUUUGGGGGAAAGUGGUUAUUGUUUGGUUUCCUAAUAACGAAAACAUUAGGGUAGCUUCAUUUAUGCUGCCUGUUUCAAGCCAAUACGCUGCUCAGUUGUGUUUGUGUAUUUGAAAAGGCCCCCGAUAGGAACUUUCUGAGGGGUGCUGGUGUUGUUGGCACAUUUGAGAACUAGACAAAAUCUAACUCUGUCUUUUUCUUUUUUUCUUUUUCCCCUAUUAUUUGGUUUUGUUUUUUAACAUCUUAACCCUUCUGGAGCGUGUUAUGGUUUAUGGGAUCAGGCCACAUGCCCUGGUUUUCAAGGUAUAGCCUUGGGUUUCUUGGAUUGGGUCUAAUAAACCUGACCUCAGACUUCCCACGUGUCCUUCAAAGAAAGCAAUUAUUUUUGCCUAUUUUCUGAGUAUGUUGGUCUUCUCUAUUUGAUUUAACAAAAAAAUUCUUCCUCUGCUUUAAAAGACUGAAAGCUGCCCCUGUCAGGUGCCGAUUGACUUCCAGAUCUGAGGACCCCGUCUCCGCCUCAUUCCUCCUGUUUCCAUCAGAAGGCACGGGUCCAGGACUCAGCACCGCCGACCUGUCUAUCUCUGUCUGCACAGGUCCAUAUGCCUUGGAUUUCUUCUUUCUUGUUACAGUUCAUUGACUAGGCCUCCAGAUAAGAUGUGGACUGGGAAUGGUGAGCAAAGCCAUUUGCAUGACAGCAAGAUGUUGCUAAGGAAGACGGAAGAUAGAAGCAACUGCCUACCUUGCCAACCACAUGCCUUCACAGAGAAGGUGACAUCAUUGCUGGCUCUUGAAAGCUUCUAGAGGCUGCCUGUACUCCUGGACUCGAGUGGCCCCUGCAUCCAUCCUCAGAGUGCAUCACUCCAAACUCAGCUUCCAUCAUCACAGCACCUUCUCCUCUGAUGCUGACCAUCCGGCCUCCGUCUUACAAGGGAUGCUUGUGAUUCCAUGGGGCCCAUAGGAGAAUUCAGGCUGCUCUUCCCAUGUUACCACCCUUAGCAGAAUCACAUCUGCAGAGGCCCUGUUAGAAUGAGCGCUGGGUCGAAUAGCAUUUCCCAAAAGUCCAUGUCCAUCUGGGACCUCAGAAUGGGACCUUAUUUGGAACUAGGGUCUCUGCAGAUGUAAUCACAUUUAAGAUGAUGUCACACUAGAUUAGUGCCAUAAGAAGAGGACAAUUUGGACACAGAUGCACCAGGAAGGCGGCCAUGUGAAGAGGAAGUCAGAGAUUGGAAUGGCCACAGACGGGGACACCAGGCAUUGCCGGCCACUGGAAGCUGAGACAGGUGCAGACGGAUCCCCCCAGGGCCUUCGGGAAGAGCAUGGCCCCUUCGACACGUUGAUCUUGGACUCCUGGCCUCCAGGAUGGUGGGAGAAUGCAUUUGCGUUGUUUGAAGCCCCCUGUUUCUGGUACUUAGUUACAGCAGCCCUAGGAGCCAAAUGCACCGUGUAAGGGCACAUUUGCAAGCUCCAGGAGUCAGGAACAGGCCUAGAUGGGGUGCCAUUAUUCAGCCCUCCACAGACCCUUAGUAGGGCAGAGAAAUGGGCCAAGCCCCCUGCCAAGGAAUAGCUGGAGAGUGGAGAGGGCACCUGGAAGGGUGUCAGAGUGGCGUGGCUCUGCAGAACGGGGCCUGUCACGGGGCAGGCACUCAAGCCCUUGUGGAUAAGUGGAUGCACAGGUGCAGGUGCGUGAGUUGAGACUGUCACAUGCCAAGGUGGCCUCUACUGCCAGGCGAGCCAUGAGACCUUUUUUUUUAGACAGGGUCUUGCUCUGUUACCCA